rnacentral:rRNA from 1 species
UACAGAGGUCUCAACCGUUGUUCGGAUUCAUUGGGCGUAAAGGGUGCGUAGGCGGCGGGGUAAGUCAGGUGUGAAAUCUCGGGGCUCAACCCCGAAACUGCACUUGAUACUGCCUCGCUUGAGUACUGGAGAGGAGACUGGAAUUUACGGUGUAGCAGUGAAAUGCGUAGAUAUCGUAAGGAAGAACCAGUGGCGAAGGCGGGUAGCUGGGCCGACACUGACGCUGAUGCGCGAAAGCGUGGGGAGCAAA